rnacentral:rRNA from 1 species
AACGAACGCUGGCGGCAGGCCUAACACAUGCAAGUCGAACGCCCCGCAAGGGGAGUGGCAGACGGGUGAGUAACGCGUGGGAACCUACCUUUCGGUGAGGAAUAACUUCGGGAAACCAAAGCUAAUACCGAAUACGCCCUACGUGGGAAAGAUUAAUCGCCGAUAGAUGGGCCCGCGUCGGCUUAGCUAGUUGGGGAGGUAACGGCUCAACAAGGCUACGAUCCGUAGCUGGUCUGAGAGGAUGACCAGCCACACUGGGAGUGAGACACGGCCCAGACUCCUACGGGAGGCAGCAGUGGGGAAUAUUGGACAAUGGGCGCAAGCCUUAUCCAGCCAUGCCGCGUGAGUGAAGAAGGCCUUAGGGUUGUAAAGCUCUUUUAGUGGGGACGAUAAUGACGGUACCCACAGAAUAAGCCCCGGCUAACUUCGUGCCAGCCGCCGCCGUAA